rnacentral:rRNA from 1 species
GUGCCAGCCGCCGCGGUAAGACGAACCUUGCAAACGUUAUUCGGAAUCACUGGGCUUAAAGGGUGCGUAGGCUGUGCAGAAAGUUGGGUGUGAAAUACCUCGGCUUAACCGAGGAAUUGCGCCCAAAACUACUGUGCUCGAGGAAGAUAGAGGUGAGCGGAACUUAGGGUGGAGCGGUGAAAUGCGUUGAUAUCCUAAGGAACACCGGUGGCGAAAGCGGCUCACUGGAUCUUAUCUGACGCUGAGGCACGAAAGCCAGGGUAGCAAACGGGAUUAGAUACCCUCGUAGUCC